AUUUACAAGUCUCUUUGUUGGAACGUAGUUUCAACAGCAGUUGAAUAGUUUGGUUAACAAACUCCUUAAACACAAGCAUCUAUUGCUUGCUCUUCUCCACACAGACCAACCUGAACCUCGACCAUGAAUACUAACGAGUGACCAGCCAUGUACAACUUCAGCAGCCAUUUUAUAGUCUAGGCCACACCUCGGGAUGUACCAAUCUACAGCUGCAGCCCCACACGUUUCAGGACACACAAUCCAGACCACACAAUCCAGGCCGGAAGUGAGGGACGGAGGUAGUAAAACGUAACAACAUGGCGGAGAGCAGGAGACAUACUACAAUUCAGAGAGGUAAAGAAUUACCUCAGCUCCAACAGUGCCACAACUGUUGCAGCCUUUAUCAUUGCCCUUUCUGCAGGACAUUUAAGCCAACCAGACUGGACAAAUUAAAAUUGCAUCUGCAGAGCCAUUCCAGCAAGGCAGUUGUCUAUGAUAGUAUGGGUAUCUUGAGUUGUUUUAUUAAUGUGUUGUAGUAUAGUUAAGUACUUUACUAAUGUA